AAGACACGCCAGGGCCACAUAUUGCAAGGAGAGCCAAGAGUAGCCAGAAAAAAAAAAACAACUCCAUUCUCUUGCCACAGCAACUCUGAAUCCGCUGCUCAUUUAGCUUCUCCACCCACCCAGGACAGUGGCAAGAGGAGGAAGAGGAGGCAAAAUGAGACCAGCAGCCCGUGUUUUCAGAGGCACUUGGAUGGGCCCGGCCCAGGCUCUGGGCGGCUCGUUUGCAUCGCCGCACAUAGUCUCUUGAACUUCCGCGCUCGGCACUGUUACCAUUCCUACUUUACAGCCUCUAUGAGAGAAGGCAAGGGGAUACCUAUCAUUCCCACACUGACUGUGAAGCUCGAGACUCCAGCCGAUGCCUCUCCUGGACACCCCUGGGUGGCACCCCAGCCCACCCCCACUAUGCCUCCCUCACGUACAGUAACCUGAAGGAGAGACACUCUCACAAGGUGAUUAAAGACAGAGAGGAGCAACAGUGCCCCUCACCUUGCCACAGGUGCCACGAGGUGGCUGCAACGGGUGGCCCUGCUCCACACCCAGUGCCGGGCACGUGGCUGGCCAAGUGAACUCAGCAGCACGUGGCCACAGCUGCCGUGAAAAGGGAUAUUUGCUGCCAAGCCUGAAACGGGAAGGGCAGCUGCAAGGUGUCUAUGAUGAGUCCUGUAAUCUAAUCUGGAAACAGUUCUGAUAGCAGGCUCUUCCUAUAGCAGGCAGGUCUGUGACAUUUUGAGGGCUUCCUUCACAGCUCCCAAAUGCUCAUGCAGCUGGACAUCAAGGCCACUAUCUAGUCAUUUAUAUUCAAAUAUGAAAAGCCUCGCAAGCAGCAGUGUCUGGGACAGCAGCAGCUGAGAACCAGAACAAGAAAAAAACAAUGUGGUCAAAAACUCUUAACUAAGGUGUGCUGAAAGCCUAGUGCAUCUUCUGGCUGGUGAGAUUCAGUUUACUUAAAGGAGAAGAGGAAAGGGACCAUGUGGAAUAAUUCUACUGCACCCAGCCACCCAAAGCUGCAGCAGAGUCCUGGAUAAGUACUAGCUUCUUUUAAGCUCUUAUCAAGUUAGCAAACUCAAUCCAAACCCGUCUUUUCAAAGCAGUGCGAUGAGAUUUGCCGCAUACUUUCUGCCCAAGUACGCUAUGAAGGGUUGGGAUCCCUACUGUCCAGGAGGGCUCCAAUUCCCCGCCAAGCUGCCCCCAUCUGUAACUACUUCUCCCACUCUUUUGUGAGGCCUUGGGCACUUUUCUUCCCUUUAGUUCCUGCUGCCUGCAGUGGUGCUGAGCCAGCAGGUAUGGGGAAAUCGCCCUUGGACUGAGAGCCAAAAAGGAAAAAGCUGCACACCCCUGAUGAACACAGCCCACCUAAUGGGACAGCCCCCGGCUCUCAUCAUACCUGCCCACUCCUGCGGAGAGGGAAAAGCAAAGGAGGAAGGUCAGAUAUCAGAGUACUGACAGGACCAGAGGAGCAGAGUAGAGGUUCUUUUCUCUCAGACCUCAAAUUUGUUCAGGGGAUUUACAGCGUACUGGUCCCUACCCUUUCCACGCACACCUCACUGGGAAAACAGCAGUUCCCGAGGCAGACCUCCAGAACCCCCAACACCGACUUCCUGGCAAAGCAGAUGCUGAUGACCAUCCUGAGGCCAGGGACGAUGAAUCCUCUGUUGCUUUAUGAAGUCUGCAUUCUCUCCCAUAAAGCUGUUUCCACUCCUACGUCCUAAGACCUCUGACUUCGGAACUAGAACUAGAAGGUUCAAAAGUGACAGAGACACAGAGAAAGCCCAAGAAAGAACAGCAGGAAUCUGGUCAGCCUGCUGCCCUGACCUGGCCCACCUCAUGGCUAAGGGAAGGCUCUUUAGUCUUGGGGCUGAAGGAGCUCAUCUUUCAGUCCAGGACCGAAUUAAUUCAUUUUAAAAAUUAUCCAGGUGUUGAUUGAACCUGGUGAUUCCUGCUGAGCAAACAAGAAAGCAAAACUCUGUUGCCGUCUAUAUUUGUACUGGAAUAACCCCAGUAAAUCCGUUUCGAUCAGAAAUCUGCUUGGCGUGAAUAAGCACAACACAGGCAUUUGAGUUACACAGGAGUCAAAGGAACAGGGAAAUGGAGGAGGAUGCUGGCAGGAUGGAGGCUUUCAAAGAAGCCCUGUAGCCAUCAGAUUCUGAAUAAGGGAAAACCCCAGGAGAGUUUGAACAAAUCUGAAAGAAAAUACAACAGCAUGACUCUGUAAGGAGAAAUGCCAUCAGAAUAAAAAAUCCUAAAUCUUAAAUUCCACCAAUCCAAGAAAUUGAACGGGAAGAUGCCACAGGACCGAAGGCAUCGGGGUUUGAGGAAAAUUCUGAGAAAACGGACAAAUUGACACAGAGUCAGGGUCUCGCAGCCAAGUGUCACCUUCACCACCUUGCUUGAGCAAGCUCAGUCCACGGAUGCUUACCUGCCCUUCAAAGAUUAAACACUUCACACACUCACUGGAGUGUCAUUCUAAAAACAUGCCUGCUGGGAAAUUUUACCUCUGAACAAAUGGAAGGACAUCAAAUGAUUCUCAAAACAGUAAGCCAGGUAACACUCUAACUCAUUUUCACUUUGGUUAUCUAUAAGAAAUGAAGGAUGUCCAUACAUUGCAA